GAAGAGAGCCAGACGAUCGCUGCUGUGGAGAUCUCCGUGAUUGAAGCAGGGGAGGAAAGUCCGGGCUUCAUAGGGCAAGGUGCCAGGUAACGCCUGGGCGGUGUGAACCGACGGAAAGUGCAGCAGAGAGUAGACCGCCUUCAAUAUCGUUUCUUUUCGGAGAAAUGGAAGGUAAGGGUGAAAGGGUACGGUAAGAGCGCACCGCAUGGCUGGUAACAGUUCAUGGCAUGGUAAACCCCACCGGAAGCAAGACCAAAUAGGGAUCCUAUAGGCAUGGCCCAUGCUGGAUCCGGGUAGGUCGCUUGAGCGUAUGAGUGAUCAUGCGCCUAGAGGAAUGAUCGUUCUAGACAGAACCCGGCUUAUCGGCUCACUUCGAUG
rfam:Acinetobacter guillouiae CIP 63.46 genomic scaffold acLsj-supercont1.12, whole genome shotgun sequence.